UGUGCCUACGGGAGGCAGCAGUGAGGAAUAUUGGUCAAUGGGCGGAAGCCUGAACCAGCCAAGUCGCGUGAGGGAAUAAGGCCCUACGGGUCGUAAACCUCUUUUGCCGGGGAGCAAAAGACGCCACGCGUGGCGUUCCGAGAGUACCCGAAGAAAAAGCAUCGGCUAACUCCGUGCCAGCAGCCGCGGUAAUACGGAGGAUGCGAGCGUUAUCCGGAUUUAUUGGGUUUAAAGGGUGCGCAGGCGGAAGAUCAAGUCAGCGGUAAAAUUGAGAGGCUCAACCUCUUCGAGCCGUUGAAACUGGU
rnacentral:rRNA from 1 species